rnacentral:rRNA from 1 species
UACGUAGGGUGCAAGCGUUGUCCGGAAUUAUUGGGCGUAAAGAGCUCGUAGGCGGUUUGUCGCGUCUGCUGUGAAAACUCAGGGCUUAACCCUGAGCCUGCAGUGGGUACGGGCAGACUAGAGUGUGGUAGGGGAGAUCGGAAUUCCUGGUGUAGCGGUGGAAUGCGUAGAUAUCUGGAGGAACACCGGUGGCGAAGGCGGCGUUCUGGACUGCUACUGACACUGAUGAACGAAAGCCAGGGGAGCAAACGGG